AGGAGUAUAGUUCGAAUGGUAGAACAGAAGUCUCCAAAACUUCUUAUGUGGGUUCGAUUCCUACUACUCCUGCCA
rnacentral:tRNA from 1 species